UACAGAGGGGGCAAGCGUUAUUCGGAAUUAUUGGGCGUAAAGGGCGCGUAGGCGGCAUGGCAAGUGGAAGGUGAAAUCCCUCGGCUUAACCGAGGAACUGCCCUCCAAACUGCUUUGCUUGAGGCUGGGAGAGGCGAGUGGAAUUCCCAGUGUAGCGGUGAAAUGCGUAGAUAUCUGGAGGAACACCGGUGGCGAAGGCGGCAUCCUGGACCGGCAUUGACGCUGAGGAGCGAAAGCCAGGGGAGCAAACGGG
rnacentral:rRNA from 1 species